AUGCGCCGCUUGCUGUUUCUAGUUUUUCGGUUUGGUUUUCUUUUCAGUAGUCUCCCCAAAGGCUGUUGUGGGCACGAUGUGUAUCUUUUCUGUUCUUCCAGGAUUCAUUUGUCAGGAAAGACGACCGUGAAAUCUAAGGGCUGUGGACAACCAUCUGCCAGCUGGUUGUUGCAGACGCCUUCGGUCAUGUUAUUUGUCCUUUUAGCUUGCCCUUUACUAUCUGGAGUUGAUUUUUUUUUGCAGCGCUAUGUUUAUAGUGGUAACAUUGCUGCCAAGAUGUUUUUGACUAAAAAUGAUCUUAACUGUAGUAGUGAAUUCACAGUGUGGCUUUGUGUAAUGACUCCCAUGAUCACAACUUUUUUUUUUCCCUUUGUCACGGAUAGGAGAAAAGCUCUUUCCAGAGAGAUGGAGAAGGAAGGAAUUAUACCUCUGUCUCAUCCUGUGAGACCAGAAGACGCAACAAGGACACAGGUUCUUUGGAUCGCCGGCGAUAAAUUCACUGUCCGCGAAAGCAAGCGAGCACGCAUGAAAUACACAGCGUCCCAGUGCGGGGGGAAGAGAGGCUCAGCUCAUCGACUGAUCCUGGAAGUCAGAAAGGCAAUUACUCCACAACUGCCCAAAGCAGCGAUAGUGAGAAGCCCACUUCCACCAUCCCCUCCCCACGUAGGGACGGACAGACGGAUGCCGCUCUUUGCCUUGCCCGCCAGGGGAAGGGGAGAACGACCGGGCAGGGAGCCCCACCGCAGCCCCCCGCCCGGGAGUCCUGCACAGCAGUUUAAUAAAGUUUGCUUUCUGGCCCAUUACCCCUUUGGUGGUUGCCAUCCCGGGAAGUGGCUGUCGCUGUCUGUGUGUGGGUGCAGGUUCGGUAGCGGGGUGGGUGUGGAGUGGGCAGGGGCCGGGGGAGGGGUGGCCCCGUGUCUGUCGGCCGCUGGAUGCUGACGACCCAUCGGAGUGUGGGGCCAGCCCUGCCGGGUGGGGGGGCAGCUGUCUAUUGUGGGACGGGGAGGGCAGCUCGCUGCUGUCUUUGCUCCCCGGGCUGGGGGGACUGCCCUGUGUGGCGGGGGCUGCUUGCACAGGUGCAAGUGGGGAGGGGGCUGGGCGUUCCUGGCAGGACCCCCAGGGCAGGGGAUGGCGUUGUGGAGGCCGGGUCCCGUGGGAUUGGCGGCUGGGACAGGGAAAGCCCAGGCGGGGAUGGCACGGGGUGGCAGGCACAGG
rnacentral:lncRNA from 1 species